rnacentral:rRNA from 1 species
UACAGAGGUCCCAAGCGUUGUUCGGAUUCAUUGGGCGUAAAGGGUGCGUAGGUGGCGCCGUAAGUCAGGUGUGAAAUCUCGGGCUUAACUCCGAAACUGCAUUCGAUACUGCCGUGCUUGAGGACUGGAGAGGAGACUGGAAUUACGGUGUAGCGGUGAAAUGCGUAGAUAUCGUAAGGAAGACCAGUGGCGAAGGCGGGUCUCUGGACAGUUCCUGACGCUGGAGGCACGAAGGCCAGGGAGCAAACGGG